UCCCUGGUGGCUCAGUAGGUUAAGUGUUCAGCGUUGUCACUACUGUGGCUCUGGUCACUGCUGUGGAGUAGGUUCAAUCCCUGCCCCGGGAA
rnacentral:tRNA from 1 species